UGGCGUAGUGCGCAAAGCCUCAGCUUGCUAAGCUGAAGGUCCUGGGUUCGAUUCCCGG
rnacentral:tRNA from 1 species